UGAGAGUCAAGUGGCUUGUCCACCAGGAGA
rnacentral:piRNA from 1 species